AACUUAAAGGAAGUUGACGGGGGCCCGCACAAGCGGUGGAGUAUGUGGUUUAAUUCGAUGCAACGCGAAGAACCUUACCUGGUCUUGACAUCCCGGAGACCCUUAGGAAACUAGGGGGUGCUUCCAUCUGGAAGAAUCUGGAGACAGGUGCUGCAUGGCUGUCGUCAGCUCGUGUCGUGAGAUGUUGGGUUAAGUCCCGCAACGAGCGCAACCCUUGCCUUUAGUUGCCAGCAGUUCGGCUGGGCACUCUAAAGGGACUGCCGGUGUUAAACCGGAGGAAGGUGGGGAUGACGUCAAGCCCUCAUGGCCCUUACGGCCUGGGCUACACACGUGCUACAAUGGUCGGUACAAAGGGUUGCCAAGCCGCGAGGUGGAGCUAAUCCCAUAAAACCGAUCGUAGUCCGGAUCGCAGUCUGCAACUCGACUGCGUGAAGUCGGAAUCGCUAGUAAUCGUGAAUCAGAAUGUCACGGUGAAUACGUUCCCGGGCCUU
rnacentral:rRNA from 1 species